rnacentral:lncRNA from 1 species
CUUCAGAGAGCCGACAAACGAUUGUUGUUGUUUCUUGAAGUACAUCGAGAUACACUAGUAAGUAAACGUAAAAGUUUAAUCAUACAGCUUUUGAUGCAUAUAUUCGAAAUUGUACUUGACAUGCAUGUGACAUUUUGUUUUUUGUAUUGCAUUUAAAGAUCUAGUAAUUCAAUCUAUUCUAACGUUUUUAAACAAGGCAAUAAAAAUGACCGGAUAUGGGGAAAUGGCACGAAUACAGAACCAGAUCUCCGAAAUAAUGGUGGGUUUUUUGUUUUUACUAUAGAGGAACUCAUUAUGAAAUUGCCGUCGGUUUUGCGAUACGAGAAGUUAUGUAUGCAAUUUAAUUCGUGUAUAUAUAAUAGCACAUUAUUGUUUUUACAGGCUAAAUAUGAAAUUGUUCGUAGUUGCUCUAUUGGUUCUUAUGGUUUAUGUGAGUUCUCUUCCACAAAAGAAAUUUCUUCUUGAUGGUAAGCUUACGUCUAUAAUCAAGUUAAAUUGGAAACUUACUUUUUUCUGAAUCAAAAAUGUUUGUUAAGAAAAUAACUAUUAUCAAGCCCCCUUCAAAGAUAAUUGGUCAUUCAUUAGAACCAAACAAAUCCUAGGGCACAUCACAAUGUCGAAGUAUAUAAAUUUUAAUUACUACAUAAAACAAAAGACAGGUAAACACAAAUGACCAAUUUGAAAAUACUCCUGAUGAGGACAGGGCCAUUCAACAUGUGGUUGACAUAAACUAGAUUCAUAAAAUCAUAACCCUUCCAUAUAUAAGACAUAUAGACACAAACAAAAAUCAUUCAUAUUUUUCUCCAAUCCACUAGGCAAAACUCAACAAGUCCAGCAUGCAUUUUAGAAUAAUGUUAACCAUUGAUGCACAUUCUUCUGUCAUCAAAAAGAUGGGUCUAAUGAUUUUGUUAAACAAUUGUUGUAUUGGUUUUUUUCUUAUAUAUUUAUUUAUGCGUUUACUUACGGAAGGACAAAUUUAAAGGUUGUGUUCGAUUUCUGUGCAAAAAAGUGAAAUCACAAAAAUACUGAACUCCGAGGAAAAUUCACAACGAAAAGUCAAAUGGCAAAUCAAAAGCUCAAACACAUCAAUCGAAUGUUACAAUUGAAUGAAAGCAUUGAAUGAAUAAGAACAAAGGAGUAGGUCCGGUAAGGAUCAAUUUUGGCCUCAAAUUUCAAGUUCAUCUGACGAAUGAAUUUGACCGCUUUUUAAACACUUAAGUGUCUAUUUCAUUUGAAUCAAUUAGUUUAUGUGAAAUAUUUCAACUGAUUUAGUCAUUGAAAACGAUCCGAUUCAAGCUCAAAUAUGAAAAAUCUACCAAAUAUGUCGAAAAAUGUCACUUUUUAGAUAGUUUUUGUCAAAAAUGAAUGUGGCCGCAAUCCUGUUCAUCCAAAAUCUUUAUAUAUGUUAUGUAUUAUCAAAAUACAACUACAUUUCAAUAUUAAGGAUGAACACGAAUGGCCACUUUCGUUUACGAAAACCGUCUAAAUUUAGCUAAAAUGGUAGAAUAGUGAAAGAUUUCAGUAAUUUAGCGGACUUAAUUGCUAGUACUCGAUAUAUGUGCAUUGUAUUGCCAAAAAACAACAAUAUUUAUGUAACAAAGCAUUCUACUGUCAAUAUUAUUUAAAAGUUUACAUUUUAACAAUUUUGUAAAACUGAUACAUUUUGGAGCCAAAAAGGGGUCUUACCGGACCUACUCCUUUCACAUUUUAGUAAAUAUUAAAUACUCAAAUAUAAAGAUAAAGAACAAUACAAUGAUGCAUGAUAUUGUCAGCCCUUAAUUAUUCCUUAUUAUUUGCAGACAUAUAUCUACUUCCUGGUGACUGCGAGCAUAGUGACGCAUGUAGCCAUUGUGGAAAUAGCCACAUUCAUCGCAUUCAACAUGGAGGACUUGUUAUAGAAAUCUGUUGUCGCACAUGUGGAAAGCCCAAUGCCACAGUGCAUAUUGGCUUUCCACAUUCUGCCCUUGAAUGUCAAUGCCUGUAGAGCAUCAUACACGAUAUAUCUCUUUUUUUCUCAAUAAAACUAAUAAUGAAAAUAUAGUACAUGUAGCACCAUGUAUAACGUCUGCCUAACUAGGUAUAUACAAAAACAUAGGUCUUUUUGGAAUCAUGUCUUUCAUCGG